rnacentral:rRNA from 1 species
GACGUAGGGCGCGAGCGUUGUCCGGAUUUAUUGGGCGUAAAGAGCGUGUAGGCGGCUUGGUAAGUCCGCUGUGAAAGUCCAGGGCUCAACCCUGGAAUGCCGGUGGAAACUGCCAAGCUAGAGUCCGGAAGAGGCGAGUGGAAUUCCUGGUGUAGCGGUGGAAUGCGCAGAUAUCAGGAGGAACACCGGUGGCGAAGGCGGGUCUCUGGGCCGUUACUGACGCUGAGGAGCGAAAGCGUGGGAGCGAACAGG